rnacentral:lncRNA from 1 species
AUGAUUCAGUGUUUAACCACUGUGACGGGACAGCAGCCUCCUCCACCCUCCUCCACCCUCUGUCCUCCUGCAGGUCAGCAGCCUCCUCCACCCUCUGUCCUCCUGCAGGCCUGCAGCCUCCUCCACCCUCUGUCCUCCUGCAGGUCAGCAGCCUCCUCCACCCUCUGUCCUCCUGCAGGCCUGCAGCCUCCUCCACCCUCUGUCCUCCUGCAGGCCUGCAGCCUGCUCCACCCUCUGUCCUCCUGCAGGUCAGCAGCCUCCUCCACCCUCUGUCCUCCUGCAGGUCAGCAGCCUCCUCCACCCUCCUCCACCCUCUGUCCUCCUGCAGGUCAGCAGCCUCCUCCACCCUCUGUCCUCCUGCAGGCCUGCAGCCUCCUCCACCCUCCUCCACCCUCUGUCCUCCUGCAGGCCUGCAGCCUCCUCCACCCUCUGUCCUCCUGCAGGUCUGCAGCCUCCUCCACCCUCUGUCCUCCUGCAGAUCAGCAGCCUCCUCCACCCUCCUCCACCCUCUGUCCUCCUGCAGGUCAGCAGCCUCCUCCACCCUCUGUCCUCCUGCAGGCCUGCAGCCUCCUCCACCCUCUGUCCUCCUGCAGGUCAGCAGCCUCCUCCACCCUCUGUCCUCCUGCAGGCCUGCAGCCUCCUCCACCCUCUGUCCUCCUGCAGGUCAGCAGCCUCCUCCACCCUCCUCCACCCUCUGUCCUCCUGCAGGUCAGCAGCCUCCUCCACCCUCUGUCCUCCUGCAGACCUGCAGCCUCCUCCUGUAGGCCUGCAGCCUCCUCCACCCUCUGUCCUCCUGCAGGUCAGCAGCCUCCUCCACCCUCUGUCCUCCUGCAGACCUGCAGCCUCCUCCUGCAGGUCAGCAGCCUCCUCCACCCUCUGUCCUCCUGCAGAUCAGCAGCCUCCUCCUGUAGGCCUGCAGCCUCCUCCACCCUCUGUCCUCCUGCAGAUCAGCAGCCUCCUCCACCCUCUGUCCUCCUGCAGAUCAGCAGCCUCCUCCUGUAG